rnacentral:rRNA from 1 species
AUGCACGCUGGCGGCGUGCUUCACACAUGCAAGUCGAACGAUGAAGCCCAGCUUGCUGGGUGGAUUAGUGGCGAACGGGUGAGUAACACGUGAGUAACCUGCCCUUGACUCUGGGAUAAGCCUGGGAAACUGGGUCUAAUACUGGAUAUGACUUCUCAUCGCAUGGUGGGGGGUGGAAAGAUUUAUUGGUCUUGGAUGGACUCGCGGCCUAUCAGCUUGUUGGUGAGGUAAUGGCUCACCAAGGCGACGACGGGUAGCCGGCCUGAGAGGGUGACCGGCCACACUGGGACUGAGACACGGCCCAGACUCCUACGGGAGGCAGCAGUGGGGAAUAUUGCACAAUGGGCGCAAGCCUGAUGCAGCGACGCCGCGUGAGGGAUGACGGCCUUCGGGUUGUAAACCUCUUUCAGUAGGGAAGAAGCGAGAGUGACGGUACCUGCAGAAGAAGCGCCGGCUAACUACGUG